AGAGUUUGAUCAUGGCUCAGAACGAACGCUGGCGGCAGGCCUAACACAUGCAAGUCGAACGCCCUAGCAAUAGGGAGUGGCAGACGGGUGAGUAACGCGUGGGAACCUUCCCUAUAGUACGGAAUAUACCAGGGAAACUUGGAGCAAUACCGUAUACGCCCGAAAGGGGAAAGAUUUAUCGCUAUAGGAUGGGCCCGCGUAGGAUUAGCUAGUUGGUGAGGUAAUGGCUCACCAAGGCGACGAUCCUUAGCUGGUCUGAGAGGAUGAUCAGCCACACUGGGACUGAGACACGGCCCAGACUCCUACGGGAGGCAGCAGUGGGGAAUAUUGGGCAAUGGGCGCAAGCCUGACCCAGCCAUGCCGCGUGAGUGACGACGGCCUUAGGGUUGUAAAGCUCUUUUGGCGGGGACGAUAAUGACGGUACCCGCAGAAUAG
rnacentral:rRNA from 1 species